UCUGGCUCAGGAUGAACGCUGGCGGCGUGCCUAACACAUGCAAGUCGAGCGAUUCUCUUCGGAGAAGAGCGGCGGACGGGUGAGUAACGCGUGGGUAACCUGCCUCAUACACAUGGAUAACAUACCGAAAGGUAUGCUAAUACAGGAUAAUAUAAGAGAUUCACAUGGAUUUCUUAUCAAAGCUCCGGCGGUAUGAGAUGGACCCGCGUCUGAUUAGCUAGUUGGUAAGGUAACGGCUUACCAAGGCGACGAUCAGUAGCCGACCUGAGAGGGUGAUCGGCCACAUUGGAACUGAGACACGGUCCAAACUCCUACGGGAGGCAGCAGUGGGGAAUAUUGCACAAUGGGCGAAAGCCUGAUGCAGCAACGCCGCGUGAGUGAUGAAGGCCUUCGGGUCGUAAAACUCUGUCCUCAAGGAAGAUAAUGACGGUACUUGAGGAGGAAGCCCCGGCUAACUACGUGCCAGCCGCCGC
rnacentral:rRNA from 1 species